GACUCCAUAGCUAAGUGGUUAUAGCAUGAGAUUGCAGUUGUCAUGUAAACAAGUGACUACGUAACAAUCUCGGGGCCGCGUGUUCGAGUCACGCUGGGGUCU
rnacentral:tRNA from 1 species